rnacentral:tRNA from 1 species
GGAUUGUAGCUCACUGGUAGAGUGUGAGCUUAGCAUGCGUGAGGCCCUGGGUUCAAUCCCCAGCACUG